rnacentral:rRNA from 1 species
UACGGAGGGAGCUAGCGUUGUUCGGAAUUACUGGGCGUAAAGCGCGCGUAGGCGGCUUUGUAAGUUAGAGGUGAAAGCCUGGAGCUCAACUUCAGAAUUGCCUUUAAGACUGCAUCGCUUGAAUCCGGGAGAGGUGAGUGGAAUUCCGAGUGUAGAGGUGAAAUUCGUAGAUAUUCGGAAGAACACCAGUGGCGAAGGCGGCUCACUGGACCGGCAUUGACGCUGAGGUGCGAAAGCGUGGGGAGCAACAGG